AGGGGUAUAACUCAGUGGUACAGUGUCUGCUUAGUAUGCACAAGGUCCUGGGUUCAAUCCCCAGUAUCUCCA
rfam:Camelus ferus unplaced genomic scaffold scaffold1512, whole genome shotgun sequence.